ensembl:lncRNA
GGAUCUGGCAAAGACAGAAUCAGUACAAUGACUGAGCAAUCUUUUCAUGAGAUUUAUGAUCCACCCAGGUCCAAGCCAAAGCAGGGAAGGAGGGAGUUUGUAUCCUCCUGUGGACAAAGAAGAGAUGAGCCUCCUUGUUGACAGGCUGACCUUCCCAGGAUCCUUAAACUGCCUGAAGCACAGUCUGCUGCAGGGAGAGGUGCACGCUUCCUCCUUGGGUCUCGGAUCAGGUGGGGAUAAAAGUUAUUGCUGCAGUUCCGUCACCAGCAUUAGAGGAAGCUCGGUGGAUGAGGUAAGGAAGAGCAUGAAUUUUGGAGACCAGAAAAAUUGUCUUGGAUCUCACUUUGUCAUUUUCUCCUGGGCAAACACUGUCACAUUAUUUUAUGUCUUGAUUAGAAUAGGCCCUUGAAAUACUCAAGGGAUAAUCUUGAGACAUGGAAUCCCUAAAUGCAAGAAUUCUACUGGAGCACUUGAGGAGGACUAGAAAGAUGGGAGAGAGAUGUGAGAAAAACAAACUCAAGUUGAAAUAGAGAUGCUGGCGAAUAAUCCCAUCUCACUCACUGGUUAAUCACUUGCUCCACUAAUGCAGCCUCCAAGUGGGCAUCCGCUUCCAGUGAAUGCUUCAGAAAAAUUACAAGUCCUGUCAUUUUCGGGUUACUGGAAAAUAGCCAAAAUCUCCAAUGUUAAAUCUGCAAAUGACAACAGUCUACUGUAAUACCUACUUCUUAGGUUUGUUGUAACCAAGAAAAAAUGUAACGCAAGUGAAGAGUUAGAACAUGGUGUGAUCAACAAAUGUGAGACUCCUCCCUUCCAAACUAAUGUUUGUUAGAUGAGUGAAAGAAUUUGGUAAGAGAAUUGCUUCUCUUCAGGUGGAAGUGUGAUAAGCGUAGGUGCUCUUUGGACAUAUUUUUCUAGAAUUCUCCAUCCUCAUCCUCUUUUGGAAAAUAUUGGCUGGGUCAAUACAUUGAUUUUGUGGUCAUAGAAGGAGGAAGUCAGGUCGCAGUUGCUCAUUCAUCCUUCCUCUCUCCUCUCUCUUCUCUAUUCUCUAUGAGGCUGGAUUUGUGCUCAUCCACAGUGUGUGUGUUGGAGAGGGGCAGUGUUAUUUUUAAAAUGUAUUUCCUUGUUUUUAACUGCAUUUUGGUAAAAUCAAAUUUUAUGUGGCUUAAAAGAUGCAUCACAGAAUUAACAUAAAUCUCAGAAUUAAAAAUAAGAAAGAAAAGUUAAGAGAAUCAACAGUCACAUAUUGGCAAUAUUUUGGUUCAUGUGGGAAGUCAGAGCAGGAAGGGCAAAAAGAAGUUGUCUGUAAUAAAUCAUGUAAAUCCCAUAAUUUCUUUCAUAUAUGCACAAAUUAAAUAAAACAUUUAAAAAAUUACUUCUAACACUUCUGGCAAACAAGGUACAAGUUUGCAUUUUAACAUCUCCUGAAAUAAAAGUAGAGAUGCACAAAAGAAAUAAAUCAAUAACAUUAAAGAAAAUGAAAUUGGGGAUGAACCAACAAGUGAUUUUAACAAAUUUCUGGGAGAUUGAAAAUGAACAGGAAUGGCUUGGUAUAUGAAACAGGCUGAAAAACAAUAGUUUUAUAGAUGACAAGGAGCUACAAGGAGAUAAGAGCUGAUCUGCUCUGCAGAAUCCCAGAAAAGUCUCUGGCCUUGGAGUUGACAGCAAGUGGGUGAGAAGUGGAGUUGAAAUCAGGGAAUUCCCUUGAGGUCUGUAAUGAAGCUGCUGCCACCAGUGGGUACCUCAGUGCCUCUUCCCCAACCAAGAGGGAGGCAGAUGGCACGUAGGGCUCCUCUUUAAAUAAACCAGACAACGUUUGGAGAAAGCAAAGAUGACGAGCCUUAAGUCAACUGUGGACAGAACAUAAGAGGCUUUGCUGUGCUCUCAGGAUGACAUGUAAAUAUCAAUGACCCUAUAAUGUGAACACGUAAAAGUGUAGCUGUUUGGAGGAGGAAAAGGACAUGUAGAAGGAAAGGUAAGGAUGCUAACACACUGAUAGCAUUAGUGUAGUCAUUCAUUCAUUCACUGGGUAAAUGUUUACUGAGAUCCUACUGGAUACAAGUGUUAUUCUAGGCACUUGGGAUACACAGAAAGGAAAAAAUUAGAUAGAGAGCCUAAUCUUCAUGGAGCUUCCACUGCAUCAUGCAUGCCACGAGUAACUGAGGCUGUAAGAGACAUUGCAAAAGCUGAUGGAAUAACAAAUAGAGGUUUAAAUAUAUUAUUUAAAGAUAUAAAGAUAACUAAUAGAAGAACCAUAAAUAAUAAUAACAUGCCUUGAGUAGAGAUGAGUAAGUGACCUGAAUUUUAAGCUCUCGUAUAUGAGGUUUGUAAGAUACUGUCUAAAGUGGAUAAAACAAAGCAGAGAUAAAAAGAUGAUAUCUAGAAUUAUGGAGGCAGCUACCAAAACAAAAAACAGGAACAACUGGAAGAGUUUCCCUCUGGGGUGUGGCAUUGAGGGUGAGAAGAGAGGAUGAGAAUGUUAUUUUGCUUUAAUCAUAAGUCCUAUUUGCUUUCUUACCACGUGAAUGUAUUAUAUUGAUUAAUAUAUACAUAUUUUAAAUUAAGUGACUUUUAAGAACAGGUACAAUCCAAGAAUGAGACUCAUUUUUCAUCUACCAAGCGUUAUGGGAUGAAGCACCAAGUCAUUAGAAAUGGAUUUUCCAUUCUGCAUCUUUUAGUAAGUGUUUAAAAAUAGAUACCAUUUCAUUGUCUUCUCUUGAUUGUAACAAAUGGUGGGGUCCAAAGAAUAGGUUUGCAAAGGUAAGUGCUGGGAGUGAAAGAUAGCAAGAAGUUUGUAGAGUGUAUUAUUAGAACAGCUUGGGUGUAGCUCAUUGGAACAAAAUAACGCUUUUGUUUCCAUCUUGUUUGCCUGUGCUAAGCUCCCAGUAUUUAGGAAAACGGAGCUAACAUUUAUUGAAUGCUUAUUUUGUAUAAAGCACUUUGCAUGUGGUAAGUCUCUUAACACACUCAACAACCUUAUGACAUUGGCAUUAAUUUUCACAUUUGACAGAUGAGGAGAUUGAAGAAUAGACAUAUGGAGAAGCUUGCUAAUGGCAAUCCUGUGUGUAAGUGGGGAGCUAGAUUUCCAACCUAGAUCUGUCUGACUCCAAAAGCUGUGCUCUUUCUUCCCUGACCCUUGGUUUUCCAGUGCAUAUUUUCUUAGAAAAAAAGGCCAAAUGUCAGUAAAAUUCCAUUAUAAGUUAUAUUUUCCACUAUAAGUCAAUAUUUUCUAUGAUGUAAAUUUCUGUAAGUGCCCAAUUUUUGUAGGUACCUCAGACACUUAGCUAGUGUGGUAAAUAUUUCAACAUCAAAUUGAUAAUAAAGGCACAUCUCUAUUAGUUUCUCAACAUUUGGACAAAAAGAAACCUUAUAAAGUUUUAUUUUCACUCUCAACCAAUAAUGUCAUUCCUAUUCCCUAUGUUGUAUUUGAAACUAUUCCUCAACUGUGGUUGAUCCCUGGACAACUCUUUUGGUCCAUCUCAUGACCAACUUUGCACACACACAAUUUCUUGUGUUGCUAUUAUCUGCUGGAAUGAGGCAAUGGUCCUCCCUUGAGCCCACUAGGUUAUCAAAAAGAGAUAUACUCUGGUAGCAAGUUAGAUGCACAUCAAUUUGGGGAAAAUGGUAGUAAUAAUGAUAACGCAAAAAUAAAGUAGCUCCUGUUUUGUGUACUUAUUAGGUGCUGGAUACUUUGCAUGCAUCAUUUCAUUUAAUCCUCUCUACAGAUCAAUAGGGCAGAUAUUGUGAUCAAUAUUUUACAAAUGGAAACUAUAACCCAGAGAGUUUAAGCAACUUGCUCAAACUUGUCAUGAGCUAGGGAGCUUAUAGAACUGGGAUUUGAACACUAGGUUUAAGAGCAUGCUUGUCAUGUUUCUGAAGUUGCCUGAUGGAUAAAUAAUUCUAUAAGUUCUUCCGUGCUAUCCUUUGGAAACAAGAUGGGCUGUUGAAUCGUAAAGUCGGAUGAAGUUUUAACUGUUGCUGUGACUGACCUAAAGAGGAUUUGCCUCCACCAAUGCUACCCUGGAGGGAGGUCCCAACUAGGGUCCCAAAGGUAUGGAACCUCCUGGAGUAGUUGGAGCUCACACUGAUAUAGGAAUCUGAUAAAAAAUAAAUUGAUGCUUCUUGUAUUUUGGUCAAGACUUACUGCUGUGACUUGUUCCCAUGAACCAACAUCCUCUUGUGAAGGAAGGGCCAAAGUUUCCUUUAUUCCCAAGAGAACUGAUUACAGUGACUGUUUCUAUUUUGGUAAGUUAUAUAAACAUGUUUCGGUGAGAGCAAAAAAAAGCAUAGCAUGUUUAGUGAUUCAGCAAAAAUGAGGAUGGCUUUGGUUAGACAAAAACAGUUCAAGUCUUCUUAUUAGUGCCAUUUCCACUGACUCUCAAAAACAUUGCUUUUAAAAUUGCCUUAAGAAGAAAAAUUAGACUGUUUUUUUUUUUUUUUUGAGGAAGAUCAGCCCUGAGCUAAUUACUGCCAGCCCUCCUCUUUUUGCUGAGGAAGCCUGGCCCUGAGCUAACAUCCGUGCCCAUCUUCCUCUACUUUGUAUGUGGGACGCCUACCACAGCAUGGUGUGCCAAGUGGUGCCAUGUCCACACCCGGGAUCUGAACCGGCGAACCCUGGGCUGCUGAAGUGGAACGUGCAAACUUAACAGCUGCGCCACCAGGCUGGCCCCCAAAAUUAGACUGUUUAUGAAAAUCCCUUUCAAGCUUAUGGUAGAAUCAUAGCAAAAGUGACUGUAGGGAGGACAUUUCCAGAAUGUCAAGAUCAUAAUUUGGUAUUUGGUCAGAUAUUGCCUUCCAGAUAAUACUCUCUGCCAGCUUUGAGGUUUCUGUGUUUUGGACUAACAAACUAUCAAAGUCAAUGUUUCUACACAUAAGAAUAAAGAAUGGAAUGGUUUUUCAAGCACCUUUCAGUUGAAACCUAGAUGCUUAGUCUGUUAACAUGGUGGUGUAUUUGCUGUUUGAGUUUUUUUCUUAUUUCAGGAAAUUAAUUUACUGAAAGCCAAGGUAACCCCAUUUCACUUCUCCCUAUCAAAACAGGUAAGCCCAGCUGUAAGACCGAUAUAAGGAGACAGGGUCAGACAACACUGGCAGGGUAGGCUUUCCAUGUGCACAAAAGAGUGUAAAUAUACCACUAAUGUAACCAACCUAAGUGGAAGUGAGGCACUUCAUUGGGGGGAUUUAUUGGAAAAUUAUAGUUUGAUUAUUCAUUCAUUCAACAAAUAUGUAUUGACCACUUACCAUGGUGACACAGCCUCUGACCUCACAAAGCUUGCAUUCUAACGGUGGAGACCAUCAAGUAAACAAGUGUAACCAGGAUAACAUUUUGAAAGUGCUAAACAGAUGUAGUUUUAAUUCCCAUUAAAUCACAAUAGCCUGAAGCUUGCCACCAUAUAUGCACACAGAUGGACCAUACAAUCCAAACUUGGGCUAAUAAGGCUUUGUUAUAAGGAUGAAUAAGAGCUGGGGGCUAAAUAGUGAUAGGCAGAAGUGCAAACAAGUUGAAAUCCUGGAUCCCAGUGAGAGCAUUUGAGGAACUGAAAGAAGUUCAGCUGGAAAUAAGUGGCUGGAAUCAAAAAGGAAGUGGCAAAAGAUGAGGAUGGAGAAGUGAGCCAAAGUACAUCAAGUGCAGACCUUGCCUCUUGGACUGAGAAGCCUUUCAGUGAGUCAGAAGAACAGCAAAGCUCAUCUAAGAGAAAAAACAUUGCCAGCAGUAUUUACCUUCUGCUCAGCAUGAGAACAUUUGUCUUUGUGCAGUGAAUACGUCCAUUUAUAAGCAAACAGUAAUACUCUGGAAAGAAAAAUGAAGUAUGUUAAUAAAC